GCUGCCAUACUUUUCUUAGACAUCAACUGGUUAGUCAUUUUCAAUUUGAUCAACUUAUAGAUUUGGAUUUGACCAUGGAGCUACGAUCAAAGUCCAUAUUGAUCAAAUCAAAGACAUGAACUUGACCAACUACAUCUAUUAAAAUUGAUCAAGAGAAGAAAUUGACCCAAUCAAAAUUAACUUUUAAUUAGAUUGGAUCAAUUACUAACAUGGUCCAUUAUCAAUGAUUUCUAACCCUAGAUCUAAUCUAGUUAAAUAGACUUGACUCGAGCUAACCCAUUAACCCAUGAGUUAUAAAAUUAAUGUCUUAGAUCUUUGAUUCUCAAAUCUAGAUCGCUUAAUUCUUAAUUAAGUUUUGGACUGAUAUGGGUUCGAGUUCAGUGUUUGAAAAUAGUUUUUAAUUUUAUAAAAUAUUUUUACAAUCAAUCAUAUAAAGAUCAAAAC
rnacentral:lncRNA from 1 species